rnacentral:rRNA from 1 species
GGGUUGUGAGGUUAAGCGACUAAGCGUACACGGUGGAUGCCCUGGCAGUCAGAGGCGAUGAAGGGCGUGCUAAUCUGCGAUAAGCGCCGGUAAGGUGAUAUGAACCGUUAUAACCGGCGAUACCCGAAUGGGGAAACCCAGUGUGACUCGUCACACUAUCAUUAACUGAAUCCAUAGGUUAAUGAGGCGAACCGGGGGAACUGAAACAUCUAAGUACCCCGAGGAAAAGAAAUCAACCGAGAUUCCCCCAGUAGCGGCGAGCGAACGGGGAGGAGCCCAGAGCCUGAAUCAGCAUGUGUGUUAGUGGAAGCGUCUGGAAAGGCGCGCGAUACAGGGUGACAGCCCCGUACACAAAAGCGCAUGUGCUGUGAGCUCGAUGAGUAGGGCGGGACACGUGGUAUCCUGUCUGAAUAUGGGGGGACCAUCCUCCAAGGCUAAAUACUCCUGACUGACCGAUAGUGAACCAGUACCGUGAGGGAAAGGCGAAAAGAACCCCGGCGAGGGGAGUGAAAAAGAACCUGAAACCGUGUACGUACAAGCAGUGGGAGCCCCACCACCAAAGCAUUCUCUGGUGUUGAAGGCCCUGCAAAGCAGCAUCGCGGUGGCGGAGCGUCGUUUGCGACGCCCAACACACAAAACAAGCGGU